GGCGAACGCUGGCGGCGUGCCUAACACAUGCAAGUCGAGCGACGACCCAGGGCUUGCUCUCGGGCAAAGCAGCGAACGGGUGGAUAACUCGUGGAUAACCUACCUCGAUCACCGGGACAACUCCUGGAAACGCGGGCUAAUUCCGGAUGUGCUAUCUGUCCUUCGGUUCAGUGCCCACAGUAAGCUUCCGCCUCCGUAUCGGGAGGGCCCCACGUCCCAUUAGUUUGUUGGUGGGGUAACGGCCUACCAAGGCAGAGUCGGGUAGUUGGACUGAGAGGACGAUUAGCCACACUGGGACUGAGACACGGCCCAGACGCUUACGGGAGGAAGCAGUGGGGAAUCUUGCGCAAUGCGGGAAAGCGGGACGCAGCAACACCGCGUGGGGGAAGAAGGACUUAGGGUUGUAAACCCCUUUCGGGAGGGACAAAGAAAAGGUGUUUAAUAGCCGACCGUAAUGACGGUACCCCAAGAAGAAGCCCCGGCUAACUUCGUG
rnacentral:rRNA from 1 species